rnacentral:lncRNA from 1 species
AUUGAAUCCUUUUCAUAUCCCCCCUGAACACUGCCCCACAGAAGGCUCUGGAUUCCUGAAACUCUGAUCUCUCAAAGAAAUGAAACGAGACCACUACCCAAAGUAAUGAAUACAUCAGGGGCACGUAACAUGGGAAGGGGCAAUUUUUUACUCAGCCACCAACAGGUAUUGGGUUUCAAGUCUUUGUUGGGCACCGGGGGCUCAGAAAUGGCUAAGGCAGCCCCUGCCAAUAAAGAGCUUCUGGUUGAGGAGGACAGAAGAGGACAGUGCAAAGUGGCAGACAUAGAGGACCGGGCAGGCACAGCGUGGAGGGAACCCAAAGGAGACCUCAUGCCUGGCCAGGAGGUGGGGGAGCUGUGGGGUCGGUCUCCUCCAGCCCUUGAGUGACAUCUGGUGCCUGGGAUAUCCUCCUGCCCAUAACUCCCUCCUACUUUCCCCUUCUUGGGAAUUCCUGCAGCCAUGGCCCCCCGCCAUUCAAUAGAGCACCUGCUACCUUGAUCAUGUCUGUUUCUGGUGCACGGGACCCUUCUGGGCAGUUAGACUGAGUACCUCCUACAGGGAAUAGCCUCAGAGACUCCAGGGCCUCCUCAAGCUGGCCCUACCCGGGGUACUGCCUCGUUGCUGAUGCUCAAGCCUGGGGGUUCUUUGUUUGCUGCGCCCAGGCUGAACUGCAGAGGAAAUCCUAACUGCUGAGUCAGGGACCCCUAUUUGCCAAGCAGGAUUGAGUGUCAUUAAGUGAGGAUGAAAUACAAAUUCCCCACAGCAUGCACGGCUUUGAUGUCCAAGGCGCAGCUGCCAUUUAUGUUUUAAAAUUUGCAGUUGGGGGGUCAUUGUGAAACUUGAUUGCUCUGUCUUGGGGACUUCUUAAAGUCCAACUCCACAAUAAAGCCAAUCAGACUCAACCAUCAAAUGUCAAAUAGAAGCUAAUGAAGCAUUCACAGGCUUGGGAGAGAAAUCAGGCAAUCUCUUAUUUCAGGAUUAUCCCUUCCAAAUAUUGAAUCUGAGCUGUAAGCAGAAUUUUUUUCUUUUUUUUUGUAAUUGCAUCCCCCUCCUCCCAGGGUGGGGGACCAUUGGCAUUCGCUUGGUGUCUCAGCUUUCUAGAGAGAGGCUUGGCAAGCCAACGCACAGCUUUCCAGAGGCAUGCUCCAGGAGGCACCGCUCAGAGGGAGGCAGGGCAGAGCUUGCUGGGAUCCCCCUCCCCCACGG